AAGAGUGAACCUUGUCCCAUAGGCAAAUAACUACGAAGCAUACCCAAGAGUCAUGACUCUAGCCAUUGUGUCAACCAAUUGUAAAAACAGCAUCUGGAAAAGCAAAAACAUCCUCAGUGCCCCAGGUGAAUAGAAGAUGAACAAUGAAAAGCAAGGUUCAGAGGUCACUGGCUGAUCAGGCUAAAAAAGUGGGUAGAUUCCAAUCUUCGGACAAAAACUAUUCUUAAAAGACAAAAAGUUAUUCAGUUUCCUUGCUGUUGGAUUUGGUGAGGAUGUCUGAGUCCCAGAAAAUGCAUACUAAUAAGGACUUUUUUCUUAUACAGUUUCAUGCAUUUAUAUAUGUUUAUUUAAAUUUCUCUAAAUUUAAUUUGAAUAAGGCAGGCAACAGCAUCUCAGGGCACAGACUCAUAACUGGAGACCUUCAUCCACAAGCUUAGCUAGCUAGAUUUUCCGUGUGGCCAGGACGCCUGCUGAAACUUCCAGCAGUCCUCAGAAAAACUGAUGAGAUACCCUUGGGCUGAAUGAGUAAGAACUUUCUGGAGAGUGGAAGACUGGUGAAAGUCCAGCUGGAAAAACAUAUGGCAGCAGAGGCGGAAAGAGUGCUUUAUGACCGGGAGCUUUAUAAAAAAAAUGUCUGAAGGCUCAAGGCAGCCGUUACAACCUAAGAUCCUACUAAGCAUGAUGGAUGUUUUUACUUCUAGGAUUGUCUCCAAUUUACCUGGACCACAGCCAGCACCGUAUCCUCAGGCACCCCAUGGGACAGUACAUACAGAAGAACAGCAUCACACCACAUCCUAUCACCAAGGCCAGGAUUCUGUGCCUCUGCCCCCCUCCCCACCUCCUUGAAACGGGGGAAGUAGGGGGAAGAGUCAAUUCUUCUUG
rnacentral:lncRNA from 1 species